UUGUGCUAGGCGGGGAGCUAGCGGUGCCCUUGACCCGAAAACCGCUUUAUGCGGGGCUGAACUCCCCCUCGAGGAUUCAUUUCCUGAAAAUUGGAACCGGUCGAUCGGUCGCCGCGCAACGGGCACGCACGAACCUCGUCAGAUCCGGAAGGAAGCAGCGAUAAGUGAUGGUGUCUGUGUCGUGGAUUGAUUUCGGUCAUGGCUUUGGGACCGAUACAUAAGGAAGCAUUCGACAGGGGGUGCACAA
rnacentral:SRP_RNA from 1 species